rnacentral:misc_RNA from 1 species
GAUGAAGAACGUAGCGAAAUGCGAUAAGUAAUGUGAAUUGCAGAAUUCAGUGAAUCAUCGAAUCUUUGAACGCACAUUGCGCCCGCCAGUAUUCUGGCGGGCAUGCCUGUUCGAGCGUCAUUUCAACCAUCAAGCCCCCGGCUUGUGUUGGGGACCUGCGGCUGCCGCAGGCCCUGAAAACCAGUGGCGGGCUCGCUAGUCACUCCGAGCGUAGUAAUACAUCUCGCUCAGGGCGUGCUGCGGGUUCCUGCCGUUAAAAAGCCUUAUUUACCCAAGGUUGACCUCGGAUCAGGUAGGAAGACCCGCUGAACUUAAGCAUAUCAAUAAGCGGAGGA